rnacentral:rRNA from 1 species
AUUGAACGCUAGCGGGAUGCCUUACACAUGCAAGUCGAACGGAGUGGCGAACGGGUGAGUAAUGUAUCGGAACGUGCCCAGUAGCGGGGGCUAACUACGCGAAAGCGUAGCUAAUACCGCAUACUAUUGGAGCGGCCGAUAACGGAUUAGCUAGUUGGUGGGGUAACGGCGUACCAGGGCGACGAUCCGUUGCUGGUUUGAGAGGACGACCAGCCACACUGGGACGUGGGAACGGCCCAGAGGCCUACGGUAGGAAGCGGUGGGGAAUUGUGGACAAUGGGUGAAACCCUGAUCCAGCCAUCCCGCGUGUGCGAUGAGGGCCUUCGGGUUGUAGAGCACUUUUGGCAGGAAAGCGGUACCUGCAGAAUAAGCACCGGCUAACUACGUGCCAGCAGCCGCGGUAAUAC